rnacentral:rRNA from 1 species
GACGAACGCUGGCGGCGUGCUUAACACAUGCAAGUCGAACGGUGAAGCGCCUUCCUUUUUGGUGGGUGUGGAUGAGUGGCGAACGGGUGAGUAACACGUGAGUAACCUGCCCCCUUCUUCUGGAUAACCGCAUGAAAGUGUGGCUAAUACGGGAUAUUCUGGGUCUGUCGCAUGAUGGGUCUGGGAAAGAUAUUGUUUCGGUGGGGGAUGGGCUCGCGGCCUAUCAGCUUGUUGGUGGGGUGAUGGCCUACCAAGGCGGUGACGGGUAGCCGGCCUGAGAGGGUGGACGGUCACACUGGGACUGAGACACGGCCCAGACUCCUACGGGAGGCAGCAGUGGGGAAUAUUGCACAGUGGGGGCAAGCCUGAUGCAGCGACGCCGCGUGAGGGAUGGAGGCCUGCGGGUUGUGAACCUCUUUCGCCAGUGAAGCAGGCCUGCCUCGUUUGUGGGUGGGUUGACGGUAGCUGGAUAAGAAGCGCCGGCUAACUACGUG